UACAGAGGGUGCGAGCGUUGUCCGGAAUCACUGGGCGUAAAGGGCGCGUAGGUGGCGCCCCCAGUCAGUGGUGAAAGCUCGAUGCUCAACAUCGAGUCGGCCACUGAGACUGGGGGGCUCGAGCACUGUAGAGGCAGAUGGAAUUCCGGGUGUAGCGGUGGAAUGCGUAGAGAUCCGGAAGAACACCGGUGGCGAAGGCGGUCUGCUGGGCAGUUGCUGACACUGAGGCGCGACAGCGUGGGGAGCAAACAGG
rnacentral:rRNA from 1 species